ACUAUGGCUGAUCCAAUAGCAUUCAGUAAUGCUCUUUGUAGCUACCUGGGUUUUCUGCUCAAAUCUCCACCCUGCAGAUGCCACAAUUGCUCUCAGAUGCUCUGAAAUGCAUUUUGUCUUUCAUCUUCUGAGUUAAGCCUUCCAACCGUGAAAUAUUUAAAAGGUGCAUUUAUUUUAUAAACACAUGCAGAUUAAUUUACUGCACUGAUGUGUUUCAUAUUAGCUGGGAGAAACAUACAAACAGAUCCUGUAUUAUGGGGUACUUUGACUUCAGGCAGCACAUCCACCCAUGGAAGUUUCCAAUGGACCCAGUGGGGCUCUGUUUUCCCACCUUCCACUCCCCAUAAAUGUUCACACAACAAGUGGGCAUUACAGUUUAUAGCACCCAUCCCAUGUACCCUUCCCAUGUUUCCCCUCUGCCCAAUUCAAGUGACUUGGGCAUAGAAGCAGCUUGUAUGGAUGCAGGAGGGAUGGAUGAGGAAUUGGGAGGCUUGCAGAGACAUUUCAUUCUGCUAAUGCCCCCUCAUGCUGCCGGAAGGAGGUUGUGUGUGAAACAAGGCUCCGUUGGAAUCUUCACUGUGUGCUUAAUAUAUUUUUUUAAGGAUUAUCAUUCAGCGAAUAUUUGACCUUUAUCCCAGGAACAGCUGCUUAAAGCAAGUAACAACUUCAGAAAAGGCCCACAGAGUCUGUUAAAAUGCGUGAUCGUUCCUUGCAAAACGUUAACGUUAAAAUUUACUGUUUCCAACGAAAGCAGGAGAUCCUAUAAUAAAAGGCAUCAUUUAAGUGGUGUGAAAUAUCGCACUAAAAAAACCCCAUCAUUAUGCACUUAAAAAUGGUCAUGGUUGUGAAAUGUUUAGAAAUAUGGGUUUUUCUUUAAAAUUGGUAGGAACUGCAGGGUUGGUGUCUCUUAAAACUGGUGAAGAUUUUUAUUUUUAAAAAACUGCACAUAUUCCUAAUUUGGAAAUAUCUUGAUUUGGUCCUAUACUUUUUGGAGCAAGCAAUGGAAGGACUGAGCAGUUAAGUUUGCUGCUGUUUGCUGAUCAGAUUACACUUUUCCUCUUUGCCCCAAAAGUCCCCGUGGUGCCUCCCCCCCCCCCCAUAAUUAUUAAUUAAAAAGAACAGUGAAGAGUAAAUAUAAAAUGGUCUUACGAACUGUUUUGAUGAAAGGGACAAAUUAUUGGCUAGAUAUAAGAAUCAUAGAUGGCAUCCUUCUGCCUUGGGAGACAAGGGAUGUGGUCAAACGGUUGGCAGGUUGCAGCGCUUGCUGUGGUUGUAGAAACCGAUGUGGGAGAGGCAUGUUUUGUUGCAGCUGGGGCAGAUGAAGGCAUCCAGUUGUGCUGCUGCAGAUGCACCAUGGCGGUUCUUCUCUCUGCACUCCUCCCGGCAGUCAUUCCUCCUCUGGUCACUGCUGUAGAUGAUAUUUGGGGGCAGUCCAGUCCAGUUCAGGAGUCCCUUAUCACCUAACCCAGUUUCCCUUUAAUAAUAAUAAUAAUAAUAAUAAUAAUAAUAAUAAUAAUAAUAAUUAUUUUAUUUAUGCCCUGCCCUUCCUGGUUCAGAAAACCAGGUUCAGGGCGACUAACAACAAAUUUAAAGCAAUUGAUGCAACAACAAAAAAGCAUAAACUACAGUAUAAAACAUGAAUACAGUGGUACCUCGGGUUACAUACGCUUCAGGUUACAGACGCUUCAGGUUACAGACUUCGCUAACCCAGAAAUAGUACCUCGGCUUAAGAACUUUGCUUCAGGAUGAGAAGAGAAUUUGUGCUCCAGCAGUGUGGCAGCAGCAGGAGGCCCCAUUAGCUAAAGUGGUGCUUCAGGUUAAGAACAGUUUCAGGUUAAGAACGGGCCUCCGGAACGAAUUAAGUACUUAACCCGAGGUACCACUGUAACAAUAAAUUCAGAAUUCAAAAAUCAAUUUCGGGGAAAAUCCAUCCAAUAAACAUUAGAUGGUCUUCUUGUGCUCUGAAUUGCUACACGCUGUGGGGCAGAGGGGGGUGGACUACCUGUAUAAUGGCAUGUGUAGAGGACUGGCUGGAUUGUCCCCACUCCCAAAAGUUUCCCAGUGUCAAGCAUGAGAUCCAAAGAAAGGUUGAAUCUGUAUCAUAAAAAUAGCUACAGGUGACCUUAACUGCACACUUCUGUCCUUGGGUGUAGGCUUUUGGAGGGGCCAGAAAUAGCUAGUAUGGGGGAAGUGAUCCAGACUGAGACCCUACUGUAGGAGGUAAGGUGGAUUUAACCUUCCAUCCUUUGCUGCAGUUAUGAUUUGGACCAGACCCUCCACACUGGUCAAAGCCCUGAAUCUCAAAGGCAGAACUACCCUGUUGAGGUCAUGUGUAGUUAGGCUGUAAUGUAUGUGCUUGAAGUAUAUUGGAUAAGUUUAAAACAUCUUGGUAACAGUCAGCCACACCCUGUUGCACACUUCAGUGGAACAAAUGAUGAAACGUGAUUUCCGGAACAUCGCCCAGCCUCAUGCAGCAUUGUUCUAAAGGUUUAGUAAAGAAUAAGCUAACCCAUACCAUUUCUGCCUGUCCUCCAGGGGCAGUUUCUUUUAAUUGGGCAGCUGGAUCAAAAAUCAGGAAGUCGGUGCAAUCAUUUCAUCUGCAGAAUUUUUUUCUCUUCAGCAUUUCACAACACGACUCCUUUCCUGCCAUGUAAUGUAUUUCCUGUAUGUCUUCACAAAGCAUUUGUGCAUAACUCCCACACACACAUACAAAAAAAGAAAAGAAAAGAAAAAAGCAUUAUUAAGCAUCUUGGAUGAAAACGUUUACAAGCAAAGUUUCCAUUUCCACAAUUUCAUGGAGCUCCAAAACAUAUGUAAGGCUCUAAUCCUGCAACCGGGGUAAAACUGCAGCCUCCUUGAAUUCAAAGCUAAGUGUAUGAGUGAGUGUUUUCAGGGCCAUAAUCUGGACUUAAUUACUAGCCAUUUAAUGCAGUUUCCUUUAUGUGAUGCCUGCGUAAUCAUACCCAGAUGAUUGACUUUGCCGGUAACAUAUGGGACAUUUCUAAACUGAUUUCCUGCUUGGCCAUUUUCUCAUGUACAGACCCCCAAUCAGUCCUGCGGUGCUUUUAAUUUCAACACUAUGUUGGUUAAAUGGAUAUACAGUUGGGUUUUCUGUCGCACAUUAGCAGUAACUGGGAGUCUGACUGAACAAUUACACUAAAUCCAUUUAGAGCCUCUGCACUGCUGUAUACAAAUCCUGUUUACUCCAUGAAGACUUUCACAGGAAUAGCUGGGAAAGGAACGACCCAAUAUUUGAACUACAAAAGCUCUCAUUAAAUAGAAUGGAAAUGAUACUAAUCGUACCUGUUUAAUGAACAAAAGCCCUGUGCAAUCCCUAAUGAGCAUUUUAUGCACAAUGAGCUCCCUUGUAAAUAAACACCUGAUACAAUUUCAA